rnacentral:rRNA from 1 species
GACGAACGCUGGCGGCGUGCUUAACACAUGCAAGUCGAACGGAAAGGCCCUGCUUUUGUGGGGUGCUCGAGUGGCGAACGGGUGAGUAACACGUGAGUAACCUGCCCUUGACUUUGGGAUAACUUCAGGAAACUGAGGCUAAUACCGGAUAGGAGCUCCUGCUGCAUGGUGGGGGUUGGAAAGUUUCGGCGGUUGGGGAUGGACUCGCGGCUUAUCAGCUUGUUGGUGGGGUAGUGGCUUACCAAGGCUUUGACGGGUAGCCGGCCUGAGAGGGUGACCGGCCACAUGGGGACUGAGAUACGGCCCAGACGCCUACGGGAGGCAGCAGUGGGGAAUAUUGCACAAUGGGCGGAAGCCUGAUGCAGCAACGCCGCGUGCGGGAUGACGGCCUUCGGGUGGUAAACCGCUUUCGCCUGUGACGAAGCGUGAGUGACGGUAAUGGGUAAAGAAGCACCGGCUAACUACGUG